CCUACGGGCGGCAGCAGUGGGGAAUAUUGGGCAAUGGGCGCAAGCCUGACCCAGCAACGCCGCGUGAAGGAAGAAGGCUUUCGGGUUGUAAACUUCUUUUCUCAGGGACGAAGCAAGUGACGGUACCUGAGGAAUAAGCCAGUGCUAACUGCGUGCCAGCAGCCGCGGUAAUACGGAGGUGGCAAGGGUUAUCCGGAUUUACUGGGUGUAAAGGGCGUGUAGGCGGGACUGGAAGUCAGAUGUGAAAACCAAGGGCUCAACCUGUGGCCUGCAUUUGAAACUGUAGGUCUUGAGUACUCGGGAGGCAGACGGAAUUCCUAGUGUAGCGGUGAAAUGCGUAGAUAUUAGGAGGAACACCAGUGGCGAAGGC
rnacentral:rRNA from 1 species